CCUAGCCGUAAACUUUGAUAGAAAUAUACAAUUGAUAUCCGCCAGGGAACUACAAGCGCCAGCUUAAAACCCAAAGGACUUGGCGGUGCCUCAGACCCACCUAGAGGAGCCUGUUCUAGAACCGAUAACCCCCGUUCAACCUCACCACCUCUUGUUUUACCCGCCUAUAUACCACCGUCGUCAGCUUACCCUGUGAAGGCCCCAUAGUAAGCAAAAUGGACAAAACCCAAAACGUCAGGUCGAGGUGUAGCGCAUGGGGUGGGAAGAAAUGGGCUACAUUCUCUAAAUUAGAGUACUACGAACCACGCUGUGAAAUCAGCGUCCGAAGGUGGAUUUAGCAGUAAACAGAAAAUAGAGAGUUCUCUUGAAACUGGCUCUGAGGCGCGCAC
rnacentral:rRNA from 1 species